rnacentral:sRNA from 1 species
UCAGGUAUCGGCAACCAUCUUGCUUGACGCCCUGACAGGAACUGCACCAGGCCAGGAAGUGAGGAAGCGGAAGUGGGGACCGGCCUGGGCCCUUGAGCCUGGCUGGAGUAGGUGGAAUAUCCUAGGGAGAGGAGGUUUGGUCGUUGGGCAGCGGCCGACUUUCCUCUCAGAGGCUUUCCUGAGGUCCAGCCUUCCCCUCCACUGCCGGUUCUCCUAGGGUAAUCGCUGGUCUGAUUCUCUGUGUGGCCGAACGCCCAGCACCUGGCUCAUCUGGUACACAGUCGUCAUCUGAAAUGGGGGUUGUAUGAAUGAAGACGAGGAUGCCGAGGAAAGGCCCUGCCCACAGAAAGUUGAUUCCUGCUCAGCCUCCACCCGCCAUUUUCAAAAUUCUUUCCAAAGCAUCUCGUUUCUUCCUCCCCCACGGCCCUGUCUGGCGAUUAUUCUUUGUGUUGCG